UUGCUGGAUGGCUUUAAUAGUGAGACACUUUGGGAUACAAAUGAAAAGAUGAUUAACAGGGCAAAUUUGUAAAUGGAAGUAUUUAUAAUUUGACACUACUUGAAUGCAUUUAAUUGUUCAAAUCCGUUUAUGCCUUUGCAUCGCUCUGUUCCAGUUUCAAGACUUUAGACAGAGUUAAGGAAGAUAACUUGAGAUGUGAUAAAGAUACCAGAAGUCAAGAAGAACCUGCCCCUCGUUAGAAAGAUGAUAGAAACCACAUUUCCCCUACACCAACAGACCAUAGUGAUGUCCUCCCCACCAGUGAACAAGCUCAUGCACCUCUGGCCUGCUCUCAAAAUAGAGUCUGAGUUGUUUGCAGA